rnacentral:rRNA from 1 species
GGAUAAACUCGGGAAACUGAGCUCAAUACCCCAUAGUCCUUCCUUGCUGGAAUGCUGGGAGGACCAAAGCUACGGCGGAACAGGAUGGGACUGCGGCUGAUUAGGCUGUUGUCGGUGUAAUGAACCGACAAACCGUUGAUCGGUAGGGGCUAUGAAAGUAGGAGCCUCGAGAUGGACUCUGAGACAUGAGUCCAGGUUCUACGGAACGCAGCAGGCGCGAAACCUUUGCAAUGCGUGAAAGCGCGACAAGGCGAGUCGGAGUGCAGUCGUUUAAACGACUGCUUUUGCUAACUGAAAACGGGUUAGUGAAUAAGGGCUGGGUAACACGAGUGCCAGCCGCCGCGGUAAUACUCGGAGCCCGAGUGAUUGCCGCUAUUAUUGGGUCUAAAGCGUCCGUAGCCGGUUCUAUAAGUCCCUGGUGAAAUCUGGCAGCAAACUGUCAGGCGUGCUGGGGUUACUGUAAGACUUGAGACCGGGAGAGGGUAUAGAUACUCGUAGGGUAGGGGUUAAAUCCUAUAAUCCUACGGGGAUCACCUGUGGCGAAGGCGUAUACCUGGAACGGGUCUGACGGUGAGGGACGAAAGCUAGGGGAGCGAUCGGGAUUAGAUACCCCGGUAGUCCUAGCCGUAAACGAUGCCCACUUGGUGUUGCAGUCCUCUUGGGGGAUUGCAGUGCCGAA